AACGUAGGAGACAAACGUUAUCCGGAGUUACUGGGCGUAAAGGGCGUGUAGGUGGUAGAGUAAGUCUGGCGUGAAAUUUUUCGGCUUAACCGGGAAAGGUCGUCGGAUACUGCUUAACUAGAGGACGGUAGAGGCGUGUGGAAUUCCGGGUGUAGUGGUGAAAUGCGUAGAGAUCCGGAGGAACACCAGUGGCGAAGGCGGCUCUCUGGGACGGUACUGACGCUGAGACGCGAAAGCGUGGGGAGCGAACAGG
rnacentral:rRNA from 1 species